GUACCCGCUGAACUUAAGCAUAUCAAUAAGCGGAGGAAAAGAAACCAACAGGGAUUGCCCUAGUAACGGCGAGUGAAGCGGCAACAGCUCAAAUUUGAAAUCUGGCUUCGGCCCGAGUUGUAAUUUGUAGAGGAAGAUUCUGGCAAGGCACCUACUGAGUCCCCUGGAACGGGGCGCCAUAGAGGGUGAGAGCCCCGUAUAGUAGGACGCUUAGCCUGUGUGAAUCUCCUUCGACGAGUCGAGUAGUUUGGGAAUGCUGCUCAAAAUGGGAGGUAAAUUCCUUCUAAAGCUAAAUACUGGCCAGAGACCGAUAGCGCACAAGUAGAGUGAUCGAAAGAUGAAAAGCACUUUGAAAAGAGGGUUAAACAGCACGUGAAAUUGUUGAAAGGGAAGCGCUUAUGACCAGACUUGCGCCGUGGCGAUCAUCCGCUGUUUUCAGUGGUGCACUCGCUGCGGCACAGGCCAGCAUCGGUUCUCGUGGGGGGAUAAAGGUCGCGGGAAUGUGGCUCGUCUCGGCAAGUGUUAUAGCCCGUGGCGUAAUGCCCCUCGUGGGGACCGAGGUUCGCGCAUCUGCAAGGAUGCUGGCGUAAUGGUCAUAAGCGACCCGUCUUGAAACACGGACCACGGAGUCAAGGUUUUGCGCGAGUGUUUGGGUGUUAAACCCGCACGCGUAAUGAAAGUGAACGUAGGUGAGAGCUUCGGCGCAUCAUCGACCGAUCCUGAUGUAUUCGGAUGGAUUUGAGUAGGAGCGUUAAGCCUUGGACCCGAAAGAUGGUGAACUAUGCUUGGAUAGGGUGAAGCCAGAGGAAACUCUGGUGGAGGCUCGCAGCGGUUCUGACGUGCAAAUCGAUCGUCAAAUCUGAGCAUGGGGGCGAAAGACUAAUCGAACCAUCUAGUAGCUGGUUACCGCCGAAGUUUCCCUCAGGAUAGCAGUGUUGUUCUUCAGUUUUAUGAGGUAAAGCGAAUGAUUAGGGACUCGGGGGCGCUAUAUUGCCUUCAUCCAUUCUCAAACUUUAAAUAUGUAAGAAGCCCUUGUUACUUAAUUGAANGUGGGCAUUCGAAUGUACCAACACUAGUGGGCCAUUUUUGGUAAGCAGAACUGGCG
rnacentral:rRNA from 1 species